UACGUAGGUGGCAAGCGUUGUCCGGAAUUAUUGGGCGUAAAGCGCGCGCAGGCGGUCCUUUAAGUCUGAUGUGAAAGCCCACGGCUCAACCGUGGAGGGUCAUUGGAAACUGGGGGACUUGAGUGCAGAAGAGGAGAGUGGAAUUCCUGGUGUAGCGGUGAAAUGCGCAGAUAUCAGGAAGAACACCCGUGGCGAAAGCGGCUCUCUGGAACGGUACUGACGCUGAGACGCGAAAGCGUGGGGAGCGAACAGG
rnacentral:rRNA from 1 species